UUCGCAAUGCCCGAAAGGGUGACGAAGCGACGCCGCGUGGGUGAAGAAGGCCUUCGGGUUGUAAAGCCCUGUCAGGAGUUAUGAAAUGUAGGUGCGAUAAUACCGUGCCUAUUUGACAAAGGCUCCAAAGGAAGCCACGGCUAACUCUGUGCCAGCAGCCGCGGUAAUACAGAGGUGGCAAGCGUUGUUCGGAAUUAUUGGGCGUAAAGAGCACGUUGGUGGGUUUGUAAGUCAGAUGUGAAAGCCUUCUGUUCAACGGAAGAAUUGCAUCUGAAACUGCGAGUCUUGAGUGUAGGAGGGGAGAAUGGAACUUCUGGUGGAGCGGUGAAAUGCGUAGAUAUCAGAAGGAACGCCGGCGGCGAAAGCGAUUCUCUGGCCUAUUACUGACACUGAGUGUGCGAAAGCUAGGGGAGCAAACGGGAUUAGAUAACCCGGUAGUCCUAGCCGUAAACGAUGGGCACUAAGUAGAGGGGUUUU
rnacentral:rRNA from 1 species